AAAAAAAAAAAAAAUCAGGGAGUCAGCGAAUGCCCCAGGCUAUGGCAUGCUGCCUAGGGUGGCUCACAGCCUGCCACAGCUGCUCAGGCCUGGCGUCAUUUUCAAGUGAUACUUAUCAGAGAGGCAGUCACAUGAGAUCACAGGACCACAGCCUCCCUCAAAGGUCAUCCUGUAUUACAUACCUCAUUCCUCUGUCAUUACCCAGAGCCAAGUGUCGGAAUACCACCACCCCUGUUUCUAACAUGGUGCCUGCUAAUCUGGAUCUUUACAGCUAUGGGAGAAAACCACUGCUCUUUUCUCUGACACUAACUUGCUGGCAGUUGGAUCCAUGACGUCUUUAGACAGUUAGUUACCUUUCUUGUGGGACUGUGGGGCUUGACAAGGGUGAUCAUUCACCUUAGGCGGAAGGAGUUGCCAAGAAGUGCCAGCCUACUUCUUCAGAUAGCUUGUUUCAUAUUUCCUAGACCUGGGAUGCAAAAACACCAAGUGCCAAAUCUGGGGAGAGCUUGAGAUUCCAGAUGCAAUAUAAAAUAGAGUUCAAGACUGGACCAAGAUUGAUGCUCGUACUAUAAAGAAGGUUCUUGGAGAUCUAUGCAGUGCUUUCACAGACUGGGGAACGGAGUAGCUGCCACUGAAUAAGGACAGGAAGGAGCAAGGCAAGGCCAUUGGCUUAACCCUCAAAUGCAAAAAAAAAAAGACAAAAAAAUGGGACGCAGAGGAAAAUUCAAGAGAACAAAUGGUUUGCAGAGGAAUUUUGAGUGCUUGUCUUCAGUCCCUCACACCUCACACAGAAUAAACGAGCAACCAUCAGCAAUGAGUGUAUUUAGAAGAAGUUCGCCAUUCCUCAUCAGAGUGAAUAUUUCUGUAUGUCACCUCAAAACACAGGAUUUCUACAGAUAGAGUAGAUAAAAGUUUAUUUUCACACGGAGGACGCUAAGGCACAAAGCAAGAGGCAAAUACUUGGAGGCAUUGUGGCUUGAGUGUGCCAGAUGUCAGCCAUGUGGUAGAAAAGAUGAUACGCAGCCUGCUGUUCACUGCAUGGUUCUGAAUCAAUGCUCAGACCGAUGGGGAGCUGAUGAACUAGUCCUCGGAUUUCCUGCACUUCCAGAUCUUCAUCUGAAAGCGAUGGGUAAGACAUCUCCUCCAGAACAAAAAGGGCAAAAAUAGAAAGUACAUAUGAUAUAAAACCGAAAGCACACAUACUAGUCAGACCAGUAAAGUUUCCGUUUGCUAGAUCCAAAUGUGUUAAGUGCAUCAAGAAAGUUCAAAAUGCAUUGUCUUCAAAACGGAAGACUCCUUUUGCGACUGCAUUCUGUUAUUCCUCUUGUUAUUACAUUUCAGCUUGCUCUAGAUGUGUCACUCAGACAAAAUAGAUAGGCUCUGCACUAAUACCGUUGGAAUAUUUUCUUUUCCUUUGAAAUUUUAUUUGCAAUUAGCAUGAUACGUUGGUCCUAAGGCUUUCUUACUGGUUAUUCUUUAGCAUUCUGAAAUAAAACUACAACCCGUGUGGGUUUCUGUCUGUUCCCCACCUGCACCUUCUGUUCCCAUCUUUAUACCAAAGGUCUGUUAGAUCAGUGCUGCUCCUGGCCAUUUGCAAGUUGAAGAGAUCUUGGGGAAUGCGGUUGUGGAGGAUGGAUUGCUCUCAGUGACUUUGCAAAACUGAAAUGAGAACAUUGGUUAAUAAAACAUAAAGAAUUCCUCUGAAAAUUUCCAAACCAUUGUCUCUCGGUUUGUAUUUGCAUCUGACUGUGUAUGUGUCUGACAGCCAGGGAUGCAAGAUGACUCUUCUGUGGCAUGUGAAGGAGGCUAACAGCCCUGUGAGGUGACUUAAGACCACAUUAGCUCCAGCUUUGUAGGUUUAUUUUAGUCAUCUGAGAAGGUCAAUUGGUUAUUGGUGCUAGAGGGAACUAGCACCUUUUGCCUGUAGAUUAAAUACAGAAUUGAGAGCAAGGGAGGUUGAAGAGAUUGUUCAGCAGUAAAGAGCGCUUGAUGUUCUUCCUA
rnacentral:sRNA from 1 species